AGUGAACGCUGGCGGUAGGCCUAACACAUGCAAGUCGAACGGCAGCACAGUAAGAGCUUGCUCUUACGGGUGGCGAGUGGCGGACGGGUGAGGAAUACAUCGGAAUCUACUUUUUCGUGGGGGAUAACGUAGGGAAACUUACGCUAAUACCGCAUACGACCUACGGGUGAAAGCAGGGGAUCUUCGGACCUUGCGCGAUUGAAUGAGCCGAUGUCGGAUUAGCUAGUUGGCGGGGUAAAGGCCCACCAAGGCGACGAUCCGUAGCUGGUCUGAGAGGAUGAUCAGCCACACUGGAACUGAGACACGGUUCAGACUCCUACGGGAGGCAGCAGUGGGGAAUAUUGGACAAAGGGCGCAAGCCUGAUCCAGCCAUACCGCGUGGGUGAAGAAGGCCUUCGGGUUGUAAAGCCCUUUUGUUGGGAAAGAAAAGCAGCAGGUUAAUACCCCGCUGUUCUGACGGUACCCAAAGAAUAAGCACCGGCUAACUUCGUG
rnacentral:rRNA from 1 species